rnacentral:misc_RNA from 1 species
GAUGAAGAACGUAGCGAAAUGCGAUAAGUAAUGUGAAUUGCAGAAUUCAGUGAAUCAUCGAAUCUUUGAACGCACAUUGCGCCCGCCAGUAUUCUGGCGGGCAUGCCUGUUCGAGCGUCAUUUCAACCAUCAAGCCCCCGGCUUGUGUUGGGGACCUGCGGCUGCCGCAGGCCCUGAAAACCAGUGGCGGGCUCGCUAGUCACUCCGAGCGUAGUAAUACAUCUCGCUCAGGGCGUGCUGCGGGUUCCGGCCGUUAAAAGCCUUAUUUACCCAAGGUUGACCUCGGAUCAGGUAGGAAGUCCCGCUGAACUUAAGCAUAUCAAUAAGCGGAGGA